rnacentral:rRNA from 1 species
UACGGGGGGAGCAAGCGUUGUUCGGAUUUACUGGGCGUAAAGGGCGCGUAGGCGGCGCAACAAGUCACUUGUGAAAUCUCCGGGCUUAACUCGGAAAGGUCAAGUGAUACUGUUGUGCUAGAGUGCGGAAGGGGCAACUGGAAUUCUCGGUGUAGCGGUGAAAUGCGUAGAUAUCGAGAGGAACACCUGCGGCGAAGGCGGGUUGCUGGGCUGACACUGACGCUGAUGCGCGAAAGCCAGGGGAGCGAACGGG